UGUAAGCGUAUACCAAAGUUGUUGCAGUUAAAACGCUCGUAGUCGGAAUUUGGCAGUUCCGGAUGUGUGCACGUCGUGUGCGCACUUCGCGGGGAUUGCUUUUGUGGUCUUGCGUAGGAUGAGGCACUUUUAUUAGUGAACGUCCUCACGCAACCACUUUUUACUGUGAGAAAAUCAGAGUGCUCAAAGCAGGCAUUUGCCGUGAAUGUAUUAGCAUGGAAUAAUAGAAUAGGACUUGGUUCUAUUUUGUUGGUUUGUUGGGACUGAGUAAUGAUUAAGAGGGACAGUUGGGGGCAUUUGUAUUUCGGUGCUAGAGGUGAAAUUCUUAGAUUUCCGAAAGACAAACUGCUGCGAAAGCGUCUGCCAAGGAUGUUUUCAUUGA
rnacentral:rRNA from 1 species